UAUAUUUUAGGGUAAAAUGCCCAAUAGUUUUUGAUCCGGUUAAAUAUAGUUUAAUUCUAUAAAAUAUAA
rnacentral:tRNA from 1 species